rnacentral:lncRNA from 1 species
UUUUAUGCCUUAUGAAGUUUUAUUUCCCAUUUUAAUACAAUGAAGAUGUCUACACAUUACAAUAUUGUGGAUUUUUAUGCUUUACAAUUGAGCUUCUUCCUUCGAGUUUCUUUGAUCUAAUCAAGAGAUAGAAGGCCUCCAGCUUCACAUUCCUCACGAUUAUUUACAAAAAGAAGGAUGGCUCAGCCAAGGCUAAAUUUAGGUUACAGUCCCUAAUCUUAACACAGUUUUUAAGUUUAGGUUUCAGCUUUUGGGAUAUUAUUGUUACCUUGAAAAAUGUCACGUUUAAAAACACCUCACACCCUCUACUAUAGAUUGGAUCUUGGGAAAUAGGGUUGAGGACCGGAUCAAUACAAGAAUCCUCAUAACCUCCGCCCCGGCGCGAACCUGGGAGGGCUGCAGACAGUCUAAAGGCUGUGGUGACCUCAGCGCUGCGUCCCUCCAGCAACCGGCGAGUGCUGGGGCACAGGCCAUACCCCCCUAAGCUCGGCAUCGCCUGCACCUCUCACAGGUGCUCUGUCCGCCACAGUAACGCACUAUGGAAAGGAAAGUUGUACGGCGAACGACUGAAGGAGCCAAACGAGGUGGAUCUGGA